rnacentral:rRNA from 1 species
AAGUAGCGUCGUAGUCCGGAUUGGAGUCUGCAACUCGACUCCAUGAAGUCGGAAUCGCUAGUAAUCGUGGAUCAGAAUGCCACGGUGAAUACGUUCCCGGGCCUUGUACACACCGCCCGUCACACCAUGGGAGUGGGUUGCAAAAGAAGUGGGUAGCUUAACCUUCGGGAGGGCGCUUACCACUUUGUGAUUCAUGACUGGGGUGAAGUCGUAACAAGGUAAC